rnacentral:rRNA from 1 species
UACGUAGGGUGCGAGCGUUGUCCGGAAUUAUUGGGCGUAAAGAGCUUGUAGGUGGUUUGUCGCGUCUGCUGUGAAAAUCCGAGGCUCAACCUCGGACUUGCAGUGGGUACGGGCAGACUAGAGUGUGGUAGGGGAGACUGGAAUUCCUGGUGUAGCGGUGGAAUGCGUAGAGAUCCGGAGGAACACCGAAGGCGAAGGCAGUGUCCUGGCGAGUAUCCUGACGCUGAGGUGCGAAAGCCAGGGGAGCGAACGGG